rnacentral:rRNA from 1 species
CCGCUCUAGACUAGUGGAUCCCCCGGGCUGCAGCCCAAUGUGGAAUUCGCCCUUCGCCCGCCGCGCGCGGCGGGCGGGGCGGGGGCACGGGGGGCCUACGGGAGGCAGCAGUGGGGAAUAUUGCACAAUGGGCGCAAGCCUGAUGCAGCGACGCCGCGUGAGGGAUGGAGGCCUUCGGGUUGUAAAC